AUGGCUCAGGACGAACGCUGGCGGCGUGCUUAACACAUGCAAGUGGAGCGACGAACCGGGGCUUGCCCCGGGGCAGAGCCGCGAACGGGUGAGUAACACGUGGGUAACCCACCCCGAUGACCGGGACAACCCGAGGAAACUCGGGCUAAUACCGGAUGUGGUCCUUGUUCUCAAGAGCAACGACUAAAGAUAGCUUCGGCCUUCGCAUCGGGACGGGCCCGCGGCCCAUUAGCUUGUUGGUGGGGUAAUGGCCUACCAAGGCUUCGAUGGGUAGCUGGUCUGAGAGGACGAUCAGCCACACUGGGACUGAGACACGGCCCAGACUCCUACGGGAGGCAGCAGUGGGGAAUCUUGCGCAAUGCGCGAAAGCGUGACGCAGCAACGCCGCGUGGGGGAAGAAGGCCUUCGGGUUGUAAACCCCUUUCAGUUGGGACGAAGCUUCGCCGGUUAAUAGCCGGCCGGAGUGUCGGUACCUUCA
rnacentral:rRNA from 1 species